rnacentral:rRNA from 1 species
UACGAAGGGGGCUAGCGUUGUUCGGAAUCACUGGGCGUAAAGCGCACGUAGGCGGAUCGUCUAGUCGAGGGUGAAAUCCCGAGGCUCAACCUCGGAACUGCCUUCGAUACUGGCGAUCUCGAGUCCGGGAGAGGUGAGUGGAACUCCGAGUGUAGAGGUGAAAUUCGUAGAUAUUCGGAAGAACACCAGUGGCGAAGGCGGCUCACUGGCCCGGUACUGACGCUGAGGUGCGAAAGCGUGGGGAGCAAACAGG